rnacentral:rRNA from 1 species
AUACGGAGGAUCCGAGCGUUAUCCGGAUUUAUUGGGUUUAAAGGGUGCGCAGGCGGCCAUUUAAGUCAGCGGUUAAAUCGUGGGGCUCAACCCCAUUCUGCCGUUGAUACUGGGUGGCUUGAUUGCGGUCGAGGUUGGCGGAAUUCGUUGUGUAGCGGUGAAAUGCAUAGAUAUGACGAAGAACACCGAGUGCGUAGGCAGCUGACCAGACCGCAAAUGACGCUCAUGCACGAAAGUGCAGGGAUCGAACAGGAUUAGAUACCUUGGUAGCCCGCACAGUAAACGAUGAAUACUUGUUUUCGGCGAUAUAAUGUCGGAGGCAAAGCGAAAGCGAUAAGUAUUCCGCCUGGGGAGUACGCCGGCAACGGUGAAACUCAAAUGAAUUGACGGGG